AAAAAGAAAUAAAGACAGAAUUAAUAUCCUGCAUUUUUGAGACACAGUGACUAAUUAGAAUGACACAGGCCUAUGGAGGAUUUACUGUAGCUAAUCUUUAGCAGGUGUGUUUGCUGCCAGAUGACAACAUCUUUCUCAGAAGGAAGGUAGGAUCAAAAUGUGCUGGAAUAUCAGCAAAAUAGACCUAAGUGAUGCAAGCCGUCACACAAUGGAGACAUCCUAGUCCUUCACGGUCCGAGAUAGAAAUUAUUAGGCACCUAUAGCUAUUGACAUUUAAAUGAUUAAAAUUAAAUAGAAUAAAAAAUUCAGUUUCUCACCCUAGCUACAUUCUAAGUACUUAUUUGUCAAAUACAGACUGUGGGGGCAGCGCAGAUACAGACCAUUUCUGUCCCUGUGGAACAUUCUAUUGGACAGCAAGAACCAGAUUGAAAUAGCUCCACCCCACCAUCACCCCAAAACUUCAUCACUAGGAAAUGUUAAAGGAUGAGAACAGAAUGUGGGAAACACCCAGGCCAUUGUGGUACAGGUAGGUGGGGCUGAGCCCCCUUUAAACCUUUCUUGUGAGUGCCCCCCACCAACCCAACGAAGAACCUUCCACAAAAUUGAAGACUGUACCUCGUGCCAUCAGAGUUGACUCACAAGGCUCUU
rnacentral:lncRNA from 1 species